rnacentral:rRNA from 1 species
GGCGGCGUGCCUAACACAUGCAAGUCGAACGAGUCCUGACUUUCGGGUCAGAGGCGAGUGGCGGACGGGUGAGUAACACGUGAGCAAUCUGUCCCUGUGUGGGGGACAACCCGGGGAAACCCGGGCUAAUACCGCAUGGGCAGGCACUUCACAGGAAGAGCCUGGGAAAGAGGCCCUCUUUACAAUGGUCUCAUGCAGGGAGGAGCUCGCGGGCUAUCAGCUAGUUGGUAGUGGUAACGGCCUACCAAGGCGACGACGGCUACGGGGUCUGAGAGGACGACCCCGCACAUUGGAACUGAGACACGGUCCAGACUCCUACGGGAGGCAGCAGUGGGGAAUUUUGGGCAAUGGCCGAAAGGCUGACCCAGCGACGCCGCGUGCGGGAUGACGCCUCUCGGGGUGUAAACCGCUGUCAGAGGGGAAGAAUAGCGAGGGUGUAAAUAAUGUCCUCGUGUGACGGUACCCUCAAAGGAAGCACCGGCUAACUCCGUGCCAGCAGCCGCGGU